ACGCUCGACACCUACGUGAGGCAGCAGUGGGGAAUAUUGCACAAUGGGGGAAACCCUGAUGCAGCGACGCCGCGUGAGCGAAGAAGUAUUUCGGUAUGUAAAGCUCUAUCAGCAGGGAAGAAACUGACGGUACCUGACUAAGAAGCACCGGCUAAAUACGUGCAGCAGCCGCGGUAAUCUGAGCGGGCUGGCAAGGC
rnacentral:rRNA from 1 species